GGAUGUGAGGGCGAUCUGGCUGCGACAUCUGUCACCCCAUUGAUCGCCAGGGUUGAUUCGGCUGAUCUGGCUGGCUAGGCAGGUGUCCCCUUCCUCCCUCACCGCUCCAUGUGCGUCCCUCCCGAAGCUGCGCGCUCAGUGGAAGAGGACGACCAUCCCAGAUAGAAGGAGUGUACCGUUUUUCAGUCAAGGGUAUACGAUAGCUGCGCUCCCCUGCUAGAACCUCCAAACAAGAAACCUCCAAGGAAGGAGAGUCCACAACCUUGCAAGAGAGUCCGUUCCAACUUUACUGUCAGAAAGUU